ACACUCGGCUCCGCAGCCGGGCCCCGAGCGAGCUCCGCGAGUCCUGGCGAGAGCCGAGGGCUCCCCGGGUUCAAAGGGCCGCAGCCCCGAGGGAACGCCCUCCUUGCUGUGCCCCGGGGGGCAGAAGCGGACUGCUGGGCGGUGGGACCGGCCUGGGCCACGGUAUGCUACUGCUCAUACCGGCCUUGCUGGGAGAGGAUCCUUGAUGACUGGGACCUACAUGGAUGCCAGGAUGCCAAGGAGUCAACGCCUUGUUCCCUGGGUAGCUGGCUCAGGCUGGUUCUAACAGAGUCUAUUGAUGCAAACCAGAAUUUUGAAGCUUGGUUCACAAAGUUGAGACAACUCCAGCUUUCUUUGUUUUGGUCAGUAGAGUACUGGAAGCCAUCUGUAUGUUCAGCCAAACUGAAGGGAAAAUUCGAAACAAAGUAAACUGGUGACUCAGAUUCAAAUUUGGUGGCUGGAUGCAAACGAAAGUUAGCUCUCCAUGAGACUAAGCAUCUAAUAUUCCUAAGGCCACUGUGAAGCAGAAAUCAUUGUACCUAGUUAAUUAUUAUUUUGUUGAUUCAAAGCAACAGAGUGAGAGAUAGCAUUCAAAUCUUCAGCUUGUAAAAAUAAACCAUUCAAGUGUGUGUUACUCA
rnacentral:lncRNA from 1 species